GCCGGCAGCCAUAUCACUCUGCAAAUCACAACUGACAACCCAGUGAAGCUCAGCAGGUGUGAGCCUGGUCAGUACCUGGAUGGGAGACCUCCUGAGAAAAGCUGAGGUUGCUGCUUGAA
rfam:Lepisosteus oculatus linkage group LG11, whole genome shotgun sequence.